rnacentral:rRNA from 1 species
GACGAACGCUGGCGGCGUGCUUAGCACAUGCAAGUCGAACGGAAAGGCCCUGCUUUUGUGGGGUGCUCGAGUGGCGAACGGGUGAGUAACACGUGAGUAACCUGCCCUUGACUUUGGGAUAACUUCAGGAAACUGGGGCUAAUACCGGAUAGGAGCUCCUGCUGCAUGGUGGGGGUUGGAAAGUUUCGGCGGUUGGGGAUGGACUCGCGGCUUAUCAGCUUGUUGGUGGGGUAGUGGCUUACCAAGGCUUUGACGGGUAGCCGGCCUGAGAGGGUGACCGGCCACAUUGGGACUGAGAUACGGCCCAGACUCCUACGGGAGGCAGCAGUGGGGAAUAUUGCACAAUGGGCGGAAGCCUGAUGCAGCAACGCCGCGUGCGGGAUGACGGCCUUCGGGUUGUAAACCGCUUUCGCCUGUGACGAAGCGUGAGUGACGGUAAUGGGUAAAGAAGCACCGGCUAACUACGUGCCAGCAGCCGCGGUGAUACGUAGGGUGCGAGCGUUGUCCGGAUUUAUUGGGCGUAAAGGGCUCGUAGGUGGUUGAUCGCGUCGGAAGUGUAAUCUUGGGGCUUAACCCUGAGCGUGCUUUCGAUACGGGUUGACUUGAGGAAGGUAGGGGAGAAUGGAAUUCCUGGUGGAGCGGUGGAAUGCGCAGAUAUCAGGAGGAACACCAGUGGCGAAGGCGGUUCUCUGGGCCUUUCCUGACGCUGAGGAGCGAAAGCGUGGGGAGCGAACAGGCUUAGAUACCCUGGUAGUCCACGCUGUAAACGGUGGGUACUAGGUGUGGGGUCCAUUCCACGGGUUCCGUGCCGUAGCUAACGCUUUAAGUACCCCGCCUGGGGAGUACGGCCGCAAGGCUAAAACUCAAAGGAAUUGACGGGGCCCCGCACAAGCGGCGGAGCAUGCGGAUUAAUUCGAUGCAACGCGUAGAACCUUACCUGGGUUUGACAUGGAUCGGGAGUGCUCAGAGAUGGGUGUGCCUCUUUUGGGGUCGGUUCACAGGUGGUGCAUGGCUGUCGUCAGCUCGUGUCGUGAGAUGUUGGGUUAAGUCCCGCAACGAGCGCAACCCUUGUUCACUGUUGCCAGCACGUUAUGGUGGGGACUCAGUGGAGACCGCCGGGGUCAACUCGGAGGAAGGUGGGGAUGACGUCAAGUCAUCAUGCCCCUUAUGUCCAGGGCUUCACGCAUGCUACAAUGGCUGGUACAGAGAGUGGCGAGCCUGUGAGGGUGAGCGAAUCUCGGAAAGCCGGUCUCAGUUCGGAUUGGGGUCUGCAACUCGACCUCAUGAAGUCGGAGUCGCUAGUAAUCGCAGAUCAGCAACGCUGCGGUGAAUACGUUCCCGGG